rnacentral:rRNA from 1 species
GACGUAGGGCGCGAGCGUUGUCCGGAUUUAUUGGGCGUAAAGAGCGUGUAGGCGGCUUUACAGGUCCGUUGUGAAAACUCGAGGCUCAACCUCGAGACGUCGGCGGAAACCAUCUGGCUAGAGUCCGGAAGAGGAGAGUGGAAUCCUGGUGUAGCGGUGAAAUGCGCAGAUAUCAGGAAGAACACCCGUGGCGAAGGCGGCUCUCUGGGACGGUACUGACGCUGAGACGCGAAAGCGUGGGGAGCGAACAGG